rnacentral:rRNA from 1 species
GGGUUGUGAGGUUAAGCGACUAAGCGUACACGGUGGAUGCCCUGGCAGUCAGAGGCGAUGAAGGACGUGCUAAUCUGCGAUAAGCGUCGGUAAGGUGAUAUGAACCGUUAUAACCGGCGAUUUCCGAAUGGGGAAACCCAGUGUGAUUCGUCACACUAUCAUUAACUGAAUCCAUAGGUUAAUGAGGCGAACCGGGGGAACUGAAACAUCUAAGUACCCCGAGGAAAAGAAAUCAACCGAGAUUCCCCCAGUAGCGGCGAGCGAACGGGGAGCAGCCCAGAGCCUGAAUCAGUGUGUGUGUUAGUGGAAGCGUCUGGAAAGGCGCGCGAUACAGGGUGACAGCCCCGUACACAAAAAUGCACAUACUGUGAGCUCGAUGAGUAGGGCGGGACACGUGGUAUCCUGUCUGAAUAUGGGGGGACCAUCCUCCAAGGCUAAAUACUCCUGACUGACCGAUAGUGAACCAGUACCGUGAGGGAAAGGCGAAAAGAACCCCGGCGAGGGGAGUGAAAAAGAACCUGAAACCGUGUACGUACAAGCAGUGGGAGCACAGAGCAAUCUGUGUGACUGCGUACCUUUUGUAUAAUGGGUCAGCGACUUAUAUUCUGUAGCAAGGUUAACCGAAUAGGGGAGCCGAAGGGAAACCGAGUCUUAACUGGGCGUUAAGUUGCAGGGUAUAGACCCGAAACCCGGUGAUCUAGCCAUGGGCAGGUUGAAGGUUGGGUAACACUAACUGGAGGACCGAACCGACUAAUGUUGAAAAAUUAGCGGAUGACUUGUGGCUGGGGGUGAAAGGCCAAUCAAACCGGGAGAUAGCUGGUUCUCCCCGAAAGCUAUUUAGGUAGCGCCUCGUGAAUUCAUCUCCGGGGGUAGAGCACUGUUUCGGCAAGGGGGUCAUCCCGACUUACCAACCCGAUGCAAACUGCGAAUACCGGAGAAUGUUAUCACGGGAGACACACGGCGGGUGCUAACGUCCGUCGUGAAGAGGGAAACAACCCAGACCGCCAGCUAAGGUCCCAAAGUCAUGGUUAAGUGGGAAACGAUGUGGGAAGGCCCAGACAGCCAGGAUGUUGGCUUAGAAGCAGCCAUCAUUUAAAGAAAGCGUAAUAGCUCACUGGUCGAGUCGGCCUGCGCGGAAGAUGUAACGGGGCUAAACCAUGCACCGAAGCUGCGGCAGCGACGCUUAUGCGUUGUUGGGUAGGGGAGCGUUCUGUAAGCCUGCGAAGGUGUGCUGUGAGGCAUGCUGGAGGUAUCAGAAGUGCGAAUGCUGACAUAAGUAACGAUAAAGCGGGUGAAAAGCCCGCUCGCCGGAAGACCAAGGGUUCCUGUCCAACGUUAAUCGGGGCAGGGUGAGUCGACCCCUAAGGCGAGGCCGAAAGGCGUAGUCGAUGGGAAACAGGUUAAUAUUCCUGUACUUGGUGUUACUGCGAAGGGGGGACGGAGAAGGCUAUGUUGGCCGGGCGACGGUUGUCCCGGUUUAAGCGUGUAGGCUGGUUUUCCAGGCAAAUCCGGAAAAUCAAGGCUGAGGCGUGAUGACGAGGCACUACGGUGCUGAAGCAACAAAUGCCCUGCUUCCAGGAAAAGCCUCUAAGCAUCAGGUAACAUCAAAUCGUACCCCAAACCGACACAGGUGGUCAGGUAGAGAAUACCAAGGCGCUUGAGAGAACUCGGGUGAAGGAACUAGGCAAAAUGGUGCCGUAACUUCGGGAGAAGGCACGCUGAUAUGUAGGUGAAGCGACUUGCUCGUGGAGCUGAAAUCAGUCGAAGAUACCAGCUGGCUGCAACUGUUUAUUAAAAACACAGCACUGUGCAAACACGAAAGUGGACGUAUACGGUGUGACGCCUGCCCGGUGCCGGAAGGUUAAUUGAUGGGGUCAGCGCAAGCGAAGCUCUUGAUCGAAGCCCCGGUAAACGGCGGCCGUAACUAUAACGGUCCUAAGGUAGCGAAAUUCCUUGUCGGGUAAGUUCCGACCUGCACGAAUGGCGUAAUGAUGGCCAGGCUGUCUCCACCCGAGACUCAGUGAAAUUGAACUCGCUGUGAAGAUGCAGUGUACCCGCGGCAAGACGGAAAGACCCCGUGAACCUUUACUAUAGCUUGACACUGAACAUUGAGCCUUGAUGUGUAGGAUAGGUGGGAGGCUUUGAAGUGUGGACGCCAGUCUGCAUGGAGCCGACCUUGAAAUACCACCCUUUAAUGUUUGAUGUUCUAACGUUGACCCGUGAUCCGGGUUGCGGACAGUGUCUGGUGGGUAGUUUGACUGGGGCGGUCUCCUCCUAAAGAGUAACGGAGGAGCACGAAGGUUGGCUAAUCCUGGUCGGACAUCAGGAGGUUAGUGCAAUGGCAUAAGCCAGCUUGACUGCGAGCGUGACGGCGCGAGCAGGUGCGAAAGCAGGUCAUAGUGAUCCGGUGGUUCUGAAUGGAAGGGCCAUCGCUCAACGGAUAAAAGGUACUCCGGGGAUAACAGGCUGAUACCGCCCAAGAGUUCAUAUCGACGGCGGUGUUUGGCACCUCGAUGUCGGCUCAUCACAUCCUGGGGCUGAAGUAGGUCCCAAGGGUAUGGCUGUUCGCCAUUUAAAGUGGUACGCGAGCUGGGUUUAGAACGUCGUGAGACAGUUCGGUCCCUAUCUGCCGUGGGCGCUGGAGAAUUGAGGGGGGCUGCUCCUAGUACGAGAGGACCGGAGUGGACGCAUCACUGGUGUUCGGGUUGUCAUGCCAAUGGCACUGCCCGGUAGCUAAAUGCGGAAGAGAUAAGUGCUGAAAGCAUCUAAGCACGAAACUUGCCCCGAGAUGAGUUCUCCCUGACCCUUUAAGGGUCCUGAAGGAACGUUGAAGACGACGACGUUGAUAGGCCGGGUGUGUAAGCGCAGCGAUGCGUUGAGCUAACCGGUACUAAUGAACCGUGAGGCUUAACCUUACAACGCCGAAGGUGUUU